AUUUGGCUUCCCACAAUGCUUAGGCGCGAUUGAUGGCUGUCAUAUUGAAAUUCAUCCAUCUGCAGCUGAUGCAGCUGACUAUUUUAAUUAUAAAGGCUGGUACUCAACUAUAUUGUUUGCAAUGGUUGAUGCUCGAUACAUAUUUCUUUAUAUAAACGUUGGAGGCCCAGGACGCUGUCAUGACUCCCAAAUUUUUGAGCGAAGUAGGCUACGUCAAUUAUUAGAUGAGUCGACACUAUUAAAGAAUAACCUGCGCAUUAUUUCGGGAGUCGAUGUGCCUGUUGUGGUGAUUGGUGAUUCGGCUUUCAAAUUUUCGGCUCAAGUGAUGAAGCCAUAUGCUUUUUCAAAUACUGAAAAUGAAACUAUGAAGGCUUUUAAUUAUACUUUAGCCAAAUCACGCAGGGUGGUCGAAAAUGCUUUCGGCCAUUUAAAAGCUCGAUUUCGGCGAAUCGGGAAAGGCCUUGAUAACCAUUACAAAUUAAAACGGCUGUUGUUAUUACAGCAUGUUGCAUCUUACAUAAUUUCACCAAACGUGAAAACAUUGAUAUUCCGGGAAUUUUGGAACCAAGCCC